rnacentral:rRNA from 1 species
AGCAGUCGCCACGGGAAUACGGAGGGUGCAAGCGUUAAUCGGAAUUACUGGGCGUAAAGCGCACGCAGGCGGUCUGACAAGUCAGAUGUGAAAUCCCCGGGCUUAACCUGGGAACUGCAUUUGAAACUGUCAGGCUGGAGUCUUGUAGAGGGGGGUAGAAUUCCAGGUGUAGCGGUGAAAUGCGUAGAGAUCUGGAGGAAUACCGGUGGCGAAGGCGGCCCCCUGGACAAAGACUGACGCUCAGGUGCGAAAGCGUGGGGAGCAAACAGGAUUAGAUACCCGUGUAGUCCCUGUCUCUUAUAC